CCGGCCGUGGUGGAUCCGGCCGAGCCGCAGCCGCUGCGCCCGGCCGACGCGAGCGUCCGCUUCGAGCGGGUGACGUUCGCGUACGCCGACGGCCGGCCC
rnacentral:tRNA from 1 species